CUGCUGCCUUCCGUAGGAGUUUGGGCCGUGUCUCAGUCCCAAUGUGGCCGUUCACCCUCUCAGGCCGGCUACUGAUCGUUGCCUUGGUAGGCCAUUACCCCACCAACUAGCUAAUCAGACGCGGAACCAUCGUAUACCACCAGAGUUUUUCACACCGCUUCAUGCGAAGCUGUGCGCUUAUGCGGUAUUAGCACCUAUUUCUAAGUGUUAUCCCCCAGUAUACGGCAGGUUUUCCACGCGUUACUCACCCGUCACCA
rnacentral:rRNA from 1 species